rnacentral:rRNA from 1 species
UACUGGGCGUAAAGAGCUCGUAGGUGGUUUGUCGCGUUGUUCGUGAAAUCUCACGGCUUAACUGUGAGCGCGCGGGCGAUACGGGCAGACUUGAGUACUGCAGGGGAGACUGGAAUUCCUGGUGUAGCGGUGGAAUGCGCAGAUAUCAGGAGGAACACCGGUGGCGAAGGCGGGUCUCUGGGCAGUAACUGACGCUGAGGAGCGAAAGCGUGGGGAGCGAACAGGAUUAGAUACCCUGGUAGUCCACGCCGUAAACGGUGGGUACUAGGUGUGGGUUUCCUUCCUUGGGAUCCGUGCCGUAGCUAACGCAUUAAGUACCCCGCCUGGGGAGUACGGCCGCAAGGCUAAAACUCAAAGAAAUUGACGGGGGCCCGCACAAGCGGCGGAGCAUGUGGAUUAAUUCGAUGCAACGCGAAGAACCUUACCUGGGUUUGACAUGCACAGGACGCCGGCAGAGAUGUCGGUUCCCUUGUGGCCUGUGUGCAGGUGGUGCAUGGCUGUCGUCAGCUCGUGUCGUGAGAUGUUGGGUUAAGUCCCGCAACGAGCGCAACCCUUGUCUCAUGUUGCCAGCGGGUAAUGCCGGGGACUCGUGAGAGACUGCCGGGGUCAACUCGGAGGAAGGUGGGGAUGACGUCAAGUCAUCAUGCCCCUUAUGUCCAGGGCUUCACACAUGCUACAAUGGCCGGUACAAAGGGCUGCGAUGCCGCGAGGUUAAGCGAAUCCUUUUAAAGCCGGUCUCAGUUCGGAUCGGGGUCUGCAACUCGACCCCGUGAAGUCGGAGUCGCUAGUAA